rnacentral:lncRNA from 1 species
CGACUUGGUUUGGAUGUGGAAUUGGGGCAAGCACUCUCUCCCAGUACUCUAGUAAUGCUGAAAACCCAAAUCUAUUUAAAAGGACAAGUUGUUUUAACUUCUACCACAGAUGGGGUGAGAGGAACAAGUGAAACUCAACAGCUAAGGAGAAAAUGAAGAACUAGUGCUACGUUUUCCACGUUCUUUUUGCUCCGGGGUUGACAUGGCAUUUGGCCUUUCUACCUGGAGAAAAUCAAGAGUAUGUAACUUUCCCUGCAGAUGGUCUGUCUGUAAGGUAAGGCAUUCACAUUGGGAUCUCGCAAGUCUCCAUGUAUAUUUACGUAUUUUUAUCCCCAGUCACCUGUCUUGGUUUUCUGGCAAGGGUCUGCAAAGGGAGGGAGACACAAGUGAAGUGGAGAUUUCCCUCUCUGGGGGCUUUUGUUUCCCUCUGAUGCCCCAGCUCACACUGCACAACAAAGGGAAGAGGCGAGUGAUCUCUCUUUUGGUCUCCUGGUCCCUCAUUUCCACCUCUCCUCUGUGGGCUUCCUCUUUGAGACCCGGAGGAAAGCCUGGGGAGGAGAUGGGGGGGGGGGUCAAGUUCACAACACUAGACUACUGCUGACCUUGCCAGACCCUUCUCCUUGAGAAGCAGAGAGCCCAUUUUAGAUGCUAGCCACUCUGUGCCUUUGGGUACUUUGGCCACUUCCAAAGACUGCAUAGUUGAGGCUGAUAGCUUCACACACCUCUCUGGUUAAAAAGCAUUGAGGACAAGGUCUGGUGAUUCCUGGAAGCGGUCCUCAAAGGGCCCAACCCCCACCCCAGCACUGGAGAGCCAUACACCUCAAGCAUGCCUUGCAAGGCCCUAUAUUCUCAUCACCGCAGAAACCAAAAACUCACAGAAACACACAGGACAGCUAUUAAAUAACUCUUGGAAGAGGUUAGAGGUCUUUACCUUGGGGCUGAGACAUUUUAAAGCCCUUUUGGGUAGAUCCUCAGGGGAUACGACAUAGAAAUUAAACUUGCUGGCUCAGUUUUAAAAUCCAAAAUCUCUCUCCUCUUAAAGCUGUUCAUUGAAAACGGUUUUUAGAUACCAUGUUGUUUGCUGAUGGUUCCUCUCACCAUUCUUAGGCUGGAGAGUCUCAAGGCCGUGCCACUAAGACUUCGGAGCUAGUUUUGGGGAGCCAUCCACUUUAUGAUUAGAUCUGUUGACUUUGUCUUUAACUCUGCGGGUGGGUUUUCAGACUUGAAAAAUGUAAAUGACAAGUUAACUCCUUCCCUGCCAGCACAUUACAGGAGUCUUUUCUUAGGGGAUGCCAGCUUGGCUUGUACUCAUCAAAGUGGGCACUGUGUCUGACCUGGGCAGAAAGAGGAGAUUUGACACUUUUCAUUUCAGAGCUGACACAGGAACCUUUGGGAGCCAGUAUCUAUUUUGUUUCCGACUGCAAAGUUCCAGCCAAUGAUUUGGAGGGGGGCCGGCACCUUCUGCUGGGAGCUAGUCUGGGAGGGAACAACUCAUUCCUGAGUUCUCUUUCGC